rnacentral:rRNA from 1 species
AGCUUGCUAAUAAUUCUCUAGUGGCGCACGGGUGAGUAACACGUGAGUACCUGCCCCCAAGAGUGGGAUAGCCCCGGGAAACUGGGAUUAAUACCGCAUAAAGCAAUAAAGCAGCAAUGCGCUUGGGGAUGGGCUCGCGUCCUAUUAGUUAGUUGGUGAGGUAACGGCUCACCAAGGCGAUGACGGGUAGCCGGUCUGAGAGGAUGUCCGGCCACACUGGAACUGAGACACGGUCCAGACACCUACGGGUGGCAGCAGUCGAGAAUCAUUCACAAUGGGGGAAACCCUGAUGGUGCGACGCCGCGUGGGGGAUAAGGUCUUCGGAUUGUAAACCCCUGUCAUGUGGGACAUUAAAAAGAUAGUACCACAAGAGGAAGAGACGGCUAACUCUGUGCCAGCAGCCGCGGUAAUACAGAGGUCUCAAGCGUUGUUCGGAAUCACUGGGCGUAAAGCGUGCGUAGGCGGUUUCGUAAGUCGUGUGUGAAAGGCGGGGGCUCAACCCCCGGACUGCACAUGAUACUGCGAGACUAGAGUAAUGGAGGGGGAACCGGAAUUCUCGGUGUAGCAGUGAAAUGCGUAGAUAUCGAGAGGAACACUCGUGGCGAAGGCGGGUUCCUGGACAUUAACUGACGCUGAGGCACGAAGGCCAGGGGAGCGAAAGG